AGAGUUUGAUCAUGGCUCAGAUUGAACGCUGGCGGCAGGCCUAACACAUGCAAGUCGAACGGUAACAGGAAGAAGCUUGCUUCUUUGCUGACGAGUGGCGGACGGGUGAGUAAUGUCUGGGAAACUGCCUGAUGGAGGGGGAUAACUACUGGAAACGGUAGCUAAUACCGCAUAACGUCGCAAGACCAAAGAGGGGGACCUUCGGGCCUCUUGCCAUCGGAUGUGCCCAGAUGGGAUUAGCUUGUUGGUGGGGUAACGGCUCACCAAGGCGACGAUCCCUAGCUGGUCUGAGAGGAUGACCAGCCACACUGGAACUGAGACACGGUCCAGACUCCUACGGGAGGCAGCAGUGGGGAAUAUUGCACAAUGGGCGCAAGCCUGAUGCAGCCAUGCCGCGUGUAUGAAGAAGGCCUUCGGGUUGUAAAGUACUUUCAGCGGGGAGGAAGGGAGUAAAGUUAAUACCUUUGCUCAUUGACGUUACCCGCAGAAGAAGCACCGGCUAACUCCGUGCCAGCAGCCGCGGUAAUACGGAGGGUGCAAGCGUUAAUCGGAAUUACUGGGCGUAAAGCGCACGCAGGCGGUUUGUUAAGUCAGAUGUGAAAUCCCCGGGCUCAACCUGGGAACUGCAUCUGAUACUGGCAAGCUUGAGUCUCGUAGAGGGGGGUAGAAUUCCAGGUGUAGCGGUGAAAUGCGUAGAGAUCUGGAGGAAUACCGGUGGCGAAGGCGGCCCCCUGGACGAAGACUGACGCUCAGGUGCGAAAGCGUGGGGAGCAAACAGGAUUAGAUACCCUGGUAGUCCACGCCGUAAACGAUGUCGACUUGGAGGUUGUGCCCUUGAGGCGUGGCUUCCGGAGCUAACGCGUUAAGUCGACCGCCUGGGGAGUACGGCCGCAAGGUUAAAACUCAAAUGAAUUGACGGGGGCCCGCACAAGCGGUGGAGCAUGUGGUUUAAUUCGAUGCAACGCGAAGAACCUUACCUGGUCUUGACAUCCACGGAAGUUUUCAGAGAUGAGAAUGUGCCUUCGGGAAUCGUGAGACAGGUGCUGCAUGGCUGUCGUCAGCUCGUGUUGUGAAAUGUUGGGUUAAGUCCCGCAACGAGCGCAACCCUUAUCCUUUGUUGCCAGCGGUCCGGCCGGGAACUCAAAGGAGACUGCCAGUGAUAAACUGGAGGAAGGUGGGGAUGACGUCAAGUCAUCAUGGCCCUUACGACCAGGGCUACACACGUGCUACAAUGGCGCAUACAAAGAGAAGCGACCUCGCGAGAGCAAGCGGACCUCAUAAAGUGCGUCGUAGUCCGGAUUGGAGUCUGCAACUCGACUCCAUGAAGUCGGAAUCGCUAGUAAUCGUGGAUCAGAAUGCCACGGUGAAUACGUUCCCGGGCCUUGUACACACCGCCCGUCACACCAUGGGAGUGGGUUGCAAAAGAAGUAGGUAGCUUAACCUUCGGGAGGGCGCUUACCACUUUGUGAUUCAUGACUGGGGUGAAGUCGUAACAAGGUAACCGUAGGGGAACCUGCGGUUGGAUCACCU
rnacentral:rRNA from 1 species